AUUGAACGCUGGCGGCAGGCCUAACACAUGCAAGUCGAGCGGAUGAAGGGAGCUUGCUCCUGGAUUCAGCGGCGGACGGGUGAGUAAUGCCUAGGAAUCUGCCUGGUAGUGGGGGAUAACGUCCGGAAACGGGCGCUAAUACCGCAUACGUCCUGAGGGAGAAAGUGGGGGAUCUUCGGACCUCACGCUAUCAGAUGAGCCUAGGUCGGAUUAGCUAGUUGGUGGGGUAAAGUCCUACCAAGGCGACGAUCCGUAACUGGUCUGAGAGGAUGAUCAGUCACCCUGGAACUGAGACACGGUCCAGACUCCUACGGGAGGCAGCAGUGGGGAAUAUUGGACACUGGGCGAAAGCCUGAUCCAGCCAUGCCGCGUGUGUGAAGAAGGUCUUCGGAUUGUAAAGCACUUUAAGUUGGGAGGAAGGGCAGUAAGUUAAUACCUUGCUGUUUUGACGUUACCAACAGAAUAAGCACCGGCUAACUUCGUG
rnacentral:rRNA from 1 species